AUGUACAGGAAUGUCUAUCGCUCGCUAAAACCGGUGUCGUGCAGGUGCUCGUUCGAUCGCAACGAGCUCAUUCGAUCGAUUUCCCUUCAACAAGCAACACCGACAGUGGCAAGGACGAUAGAAGAAAUGUUCUCCCGAUUCGAGAGCUGGCUAGCUAAGCAGCGGGCAAAGUGCAACAGCUUCCCGUGGAGCCAUUGUGCCAGCCGGCCGGACAGGGCAGCGUCAGCUGAGUUUUCGUUUACCGGAUACCGCAAUUGGACACCCGAAGCACGUCACAACAGCUUACCCAGGCGCCAAUUUACAAUUUUCUUUUCGGAACGAAAUAUAGGCGAUGGAGAGGAACAAACAAUGUUGAAAUUACUGCUUAAAGAACAUGGCUUGUACAACAAACACCAGACAAUUCAUCAGCGUCGUCGAUUGAAAUAUCUGCUGGAGCUGGAACAGCGUACACUAUCACCUCACGACGAUACUGCGAUCAUGUCCCGCUGCCUAAAAGUCUCUGCCAACAAUAACCGGACCUGCCCGAUUGAAGUUCAUUCGAUGCCAUUCCAUUGUCCCCGACCGGCAACAGGUGCUGCGAAGUGCUGUGCCACCUCAACUGCCAGUUCACCGAAAAAGGUCCGCCGAGUUGCUUCCUUACCG